rnacentral:rRNA from 1 species
AGAGUUUGAUCCUGGCUCASGAUGAAUGCUGGCGGCGUGGAUAAGGCAUGCAAGUCMAGGGGACCSCAAGGUAACCSGCAGACGAGGUAGUAAUAUACMGGUACSCMCCSAAAAGUCGGGCAUAGCUAGCCSAAAGGUUAGGUAAUUCCCGAUAGUCCCUCCGGGGUAAAGGAGCAAUCCGCUUUUUGAGCGGCCUGUACCGCAUCAGCUAGUUGGUAAGGUAAUGGCUUACCAAGGCAAUGACGCGUAGGGGAGCUGAGAGGCUGACCCCCMCCGAUAGCACUGAGACACGGGCUAUACAUCUACGGAUGGCUGCAGUCGAGAAUCUUCCGCAAUGGGCGAAAGCCUGACGGAGCGACGCCGCGUGGUUGAUGAAGUCCCUCGGGACGUAAAA